rnacentral:lncRNA from 1 species
UUAUGAACCUGCCUUGAUGUUUGUUUUAGCUCAUGGAGAGAAGAUAUCCACCACAGAGUAAUGUCAAUCCAAUGGGAAAGAAGCAUACCUUAUCUCAAAGCCAUUCCAGUGAUGUGUUCUGGAGCAAGUCCAUGGAGGAUCUUCCUAUCCAUAAAACCAGUACCACAACAAGGAAUCUCAAUGGACACCUGACCAACUUGGACACCCCAAAAACCACUGCGCAGAGUAAGACUUUACCUCUUGCUCCACUCAAGACAUCAUCUCUCCACAGCAUUUUGAGGAAUAGAGAGGCUGACACCAGGAUCAUGACGACAAUCCGACCCCUCAGCAGGAACACCAAUCUCCAUAAAGAGCCCUCCUUCUCUCCAUCUCUUCAGAGCAUGCAGAAGAAAGCACAAUGGAGUCCUACCAUCAUUACCUGGAAGGAUUCUGCCACAAAGGAAGGAAGGAUCUCCCAUGACAGACAGACAAUCAUCUCCUCAGUGACAGAUACAGCCAAUGACUCAGCCAUGGGCAGAAGUGAUGAGAGGACGCGGUCAUUUUUAGACAUAUCAGACAGCACUAGGCGCUUACUUCACCACCGACAAGGGAGGUCCUCUUCUCUGUCUGUGAAGGAGCUGUCAGCUCGUUAUCUCUCCCAGGCAGCUGCUGCUGCUGCUUCUCAAGGCAGCACCACAUCACCGAGAACUGUGAAGGACAGCUCCACUCAAUCUCUCAACAGCCAGAAAACAAGCAAGCCCAUGUCGAAAGAGGUGUGUGCCUCAUGCCUCCAGCCUGUCUACUCUAUGGAGCGUGUUUUCCCAGACAAAGUCUGUUUACACAACUCAUGCUUCUGCUGCAAAAUCUGUGGGAAGAAACUGAGGUGAGUUGUAGGACCCCAGAUCCAUUUGUUUUUAAGACAGGUCCAAGUAGUUUGCCUCAGAAUGGCCCAGUGGUCAUUCAAACAGAAUAGGCCCAAGGUAAC